CGAGUGGCAUCUCAGCAGAGCGGAGCGCAGGGCAGCAUCCCCGGGACAGGCGGCAGAAGUAGCUAAAGAACGGGUGGCGAUGGGUGGCUCACGCUGCCCGCCCCGCCUGCAGCAGGCCCCGAGCCCGGCCCCGUCCCGCCCCCGUGGCCGCGCUCCGGCUGUGGCGGCGCGGCCAUGUCGGGCGGGCGGACGUCGGUCUGGCUGUGGCGGCUCUGCAACCUCCUCAUGGCUGCGUUCUUCGGGCUGGCGGCCGCCGUGCAGGUGAAUGACCCCGACGCCGGGCUCUGGACGGUUGUCUACUUAGUGCCUGCUGCUCUGACACUGCUUGUCAGCAUGAAGCCCUCAAUAACAGGUAUGGUCCUGCUG